rnacentral:tRNA from 1 species
GCGCUUUUAGUUCAGUUGGUAGAACGCAGGUCUCCAAAAUCUGAUGACGUAGGUUCAAGUCCUCCAAAGCGCG